UUGAUCCUACGGGACGCAGCAGUGAGGAAUAUUGGUCAAUGGGCGGGAGCCUGACCCAGCCAAGCCGCGUGAAGGAAGAAGGCGCCAGGCGUCGUAACCUUCUUUUGUCGGGGAACAAAGGGCGCCACGCGUGGCGUUGUGAGUGUACCCGAAGAAAAAGCAUCGGCUAACUCCGUGCCAGCAGCCGCGGUAAUACGGAGGAUGCGAGCGUUAUCCGGAUUUAUUGGGUUUAAAGGGUGCGUAGGCGGUCCGGAAAGUCAGCGGUAAAAGCCUGGGGCCCAACCCCGGCGAGCGCUUGAAACUGG
rnacentral:rRNA from 1 species